ensembl:lncRNA
CCCUCACAUCAGCUCUGCCCUCUCAUCUGCCACCAACUUUGUCGGGGAACUUGUCGCCGGGAAUAUCGGGAGGACCGGCUGCUUUCUAGGAUUCACAUCCUGCGCAUUCAGGACUAGAGGUUUUGCACAAGUUGCAUUUCUGUGUACAAACCCGUUGCACGUGCAAUAUUUUAAGAGAGGUGAAAUGGUGUAAAAUAUUAAGUCAUUUACCUUGGACUGGUGUCACCAGCGCGCAAAUUCCAACGAGCAGCGCAAGGACGGGCACAUCCAGAACCGCGGCAGGAAGUUUGCGUGGUCGCAUGGUCCCUGCUUGUCCCCGCGUCGGUCCCCACUGCGCCCCGACGUGCGGCACGACGCCUCAAAAGGGGGGCAUGGCCAGCCCGGAGCCGCCGUCCAAUCACCUGCGGAGCGGAGCGGAGCGCGACCAGCCGCCGCCGCGGAUUCGCGUCUCGCCGCCGCGCGCCUCGGGCGCGCGCACAGCACGCGCGUCCCCGCCGCUCGGAUCUCCGACCGCGCGCGCGGUCUCUUUUAAACAGGGGCGCUGGGUUCGACAAGAAAACGAACUGUGUAAUAUAAGGAAAGGGGAUUUCAUUAAAAAAAAAAAAGAAAAAGAAUUUAGGACCAUUACCACCUUACAGUCAAGGACAAUCAAAUAAAAAGGCAUCUGAGGCAUCUGCAGGCUGCAGUAUGUUCAAAACUCAGCUGCCAGGGUUGUCACUCACACAAAGCAUCAGCGUCAACCGUUAUUCGCCUGCACUGGCAUCCAUAUCUCCCAUGAAAUCCACUCCUUAACCCACAAAUGCCUCCACGCCGGGGUAAAAAUCUGACCUGUUGCUGCUUCUACACUCCAACUAGGAGCCCUCGGUUCCAAUGGACGAAGGACUACUCUCCAUCGCUCACACCAGGCUGCGUUCCUUUGGCAAUGGAACCUUCAGUGCUGCCGCUCCUGCUCUGUGGAAUUUGCUUGCCUCACCAUGCCCCGCCUCUGGACAUUUUACACGGCCAGCAGAAAACCCAACUGUUCUCUGAGCUCAUGUGUACAAUAAACCAGGAAACAUUUGGACCAUCAAUCCUGUACACAUCAAACAGAAAGAAGCAAAAGCAACAAAUUACAACACAGCAUUCAUAUUCCGCUCAGAGAGGUAAGCCUUCUCAUUAUUUAGUAGGGC